UGGUCAUUGUAUCGACGGCUCGCAUGGUGUACCACGUCAAGCGACGUGGAGUGGUCCCGUACUUCUCCUACAUCGGCGUUCCUUGUCCAUCUUUCCGGAGCCCCUCCAACAAGAACUGGACCUGGUUACGCUGUGCAACCUGUCACCAGAGGCGAUGUUGGAGUGCAGGCAGCGAGUUCAGAAAUGGGUCGAGGUGAUCCAGUGCCCACAACGGGACACUCUCCCACCCGGGUCCUCCGGACAGUACGCCCAUGGACGUCUACAGGGCGGAAUUCUUUGAACAAACGAUGGCCCUGUGAAUCUGAAGAGCCUCACCCGCGACUUCUGUGCUGAGCCGUGUUCCUCCAAGGACUGCUGAAGACAGUGCCAACCUAUCCCUCCUUCUAAAGAACCACUUCAACCUCCCUGUAACAUAUUCUUUGCUGCUUCUUUUUUUUUGCUCCUCUAUUGUGCGACAUGUUUUUGUAUCUCUUCGUAAUUAACUCCUAUUUCUGUAUUCGCUGUAUUUUUG